rnacentral:lncRNA from 1 species
AAAUGGAUUUGAUUUGUUAUAAAUAGAAGAGAAAACCUGACCUUCAGCCCCAGGCAUUAGCAAUGUGAGAAAACUGAAAAAGGAGUUGUGGAAAUGGCAGGAAAUCAUGGAUCCAGUGACAGAGAACUCAUUGCCCUCCCUAGACGUGAAAAAAAUGAGACAACUGAGUCAGAAUGGACUGAGAGCUCCCACUUCAUCCUCUUGGUACCUAAAUCUCUUCUAGUGAAAGUGCAAAGCCACUGGUCAGCUUCAGCCACACCAAACCAAGAGGUAAAUGUCUAACAGCUGCUGAGCUCAUGUGCGUCUUCCAGGAAAGCAGGCAGCGAAGGAGAGGCUGGAUCCAUUGCCACCCAAAGGAAAGGAUGGAGCACGAGCUUCACCUGCAUUAGACUGCAGCAAAUGGUAAGGAGCUGCUAUCAAUGCUCUGCCCACAUGGGGACUAAACCUGACUGAACCUCAGCUGUUUCUAGACAUCAA